AAAAAGGCAAACCCUGGGUUUCCGUGUCCAACUUUGACUGUCCGUCUUAUAUGAAUUUUUUUUAUAAUUCGUAUUUUCAUUGUUGUUAGAUGAUAAAACAUGAUUAAUAUUUUAUACGUGACUUGUCUUUUAAUUUUUUUCAAAUAAGACGGACAGUCAAAUGUUGGGCACAGAAACCAGGGUUUAUCUUUUU
rnacentral:pre_miRNA from 1 species